AGUUUGAUCCUGGCUCAGGACGAACGCUGGCGGCGUGCUUAACACAUGCAAGUCGAGCGGAAAGGCCCUUCGGGGUACUCGAGCGGCGAACGGGUGAGUAACACGUGAGCAACCUGCCCCAGGCUUUGGGAUAACCCCGGGAAACCGGGGCUAAUACCGAAUAUGACCUCUGACCGCAUGGUUGGUGGUGGAAAGUUUUUCGGCUUGGGAUGGGCUCGCGGCCUAUCAGCUUGUUGGUGGGGUGAUGGCCUACCAAGGCGACGACGGGUAGCCGGCCUGAGAGGGCGACCGGCCACACUGGGACUGAGACACGGCCCAGACUCCUACGGGAGGCAGCAGUGGGGAAUAUUGCACAAUGGGCGGAAGCCUGAUGCAGCGACGCCGCGUGAGGGAUGACGGCCUUCGGGUUGUAAACCUCUUUCAGCAGGGACGAAGCGUAAGU
rnacentral:rRNA from 1 species